UUCCGGUUGAUCCCGCCGGACCUGACUGCUAUCGGAUUGAUACUAAGCCAUGCGAGUCAUUGUAGCAAUACAAGGCAGACGGCUCAGUAACGCGUAGUCAAUCUACCCUAUGGACGGGAAUAACCUCGGGAAACUGAGAAUAAUGCCCGAUAGAACAUUAUGCCUGGAAUGGUUUAUGUUUCAAAUGAUUUAUCGCCAUAGGAUGGGACUGCGGCCUAUCAGUUUGUUGGUGAGGUAAUGGCCCACCAAGACUAUUACAGGUACGGGCUCUGAGAGGAGUAGCCCGGAGAUGGGUACUGAGACACGGACCCAGGCCCUAUGGGGCGCAGCAGGCGAGAAAACUUUGCAAUGUGCGAAAGCACGACAAGGUUAAUCCGAGUGGUUUCUGCUAAAGAAACCUUUUGUCAGUCCUAGAAACACUAACGAAUAAGGGGUGGGCAAGUUCUGGUGUCAGCCGCCGCGGUAAAACCAGCACCUCAAGUGGUCAGGAUGAUUAUUGGGCCUAAAGCAUCCGUAGCUCGUUUUGUAAGUUUUCGGUUAAAUCCAUGCGCUUAACGUAUGGGCUGCCGGGAAUACUGCAUAACUAGGAAGUGGGAGAGGUAGACGGUACUCGGGAGGAAGGGGUAAAAUCCUUUGAUCUCUUGAUGACCACCUGUGGCGAAGGCGGUCUACCAGAACACGUUCGACGGUGAGGGAUGAAAGCUGGGGGAGCAAACCGGAUUAGAUACCCGGGUAGUCCCAGCUGUAAACUAUGCAAACUCAGUGAUGCAUUGGCUUAUGGCCAAUGCAGUGCUGCAGGGAAGCCGUUAAGUUUGCCGCCUGGGAAGUACGUACGCAAGUAUGAAACUUAAAGGAA
rnacentral:rRNA from 1 species